rnacentral:piRNA from 1 species
UGUCAAAAGAUACACACCUUUUGCUUGGUUC